ensembl:misc_RNA RN7SL126P RNA, 7SL, cytoplasmic 126, pseudogene
GCCAGGUGUGGUGGCAGGUGCCUGUAGUCUCAGCUACUUGGGAGGCUGAGGCAGGAGGAUCACUAGAGCCUAGGAGUUCUGGGCUAUAGUGUGCUAUGCCCAUCGGGUAUCUGCACUAAGUUCAACAUUAUUAUGGUGACCUCCCGGGAGCAAGGAACCACCAGGUUGCCUAAGGAGUGGUGAACCGGCCCAGGUAGGAAACAGAGCAGGUCAAAACUCCCACGCUGAUCAGUAGUGGGAUCACACCUGUGAAUAGCCACUGUACUCCAGCCUGGGCAACAUAGUGAGACCCUGUCUCU